rnacentral:rRNA from 1 species
UACGGAGGGUGCGAGCGUUAUCCGGAUUCACUGGGUUUAAAGGGUGCGUAGGCGGGCAUGUAAGUCAGUGGUGAAAUCUUUGGGCUCAACCCGGAAACUGCCAUUGAUACUAUGUGCCUUGAAUGUCGUUGAGGUCUGCGGAAUAUGUCAUGUAGCGGUGAAAUGCUUAGAUAUGACAUAGAACACCAAUUGCGAAGGCAGCUUGCUAAAAGUAUGAUUGACGCUGAGGCACGAAAAGCGUGGGGAGUCAAAACAGGA